rnacentral:misc_RNA from 1 species
CACAGAGGAAAAAGUCUCAAAAAUUGUUUCCAGCUUUCAGGGGUCGGUAUCUUUGGACCAACACAACCCAGGGGUAGCUUUUAAUGGGGUCUCUGCGUCUCCAGAUGUGCUUCUAAAAGAUAAGUUCACCGAUGAGGUAGAAUCAGUUUUGCCAAAUUUUAGAUACUCGGAGCCAUCAAAGGAAGGAUUUCUUUUUAGAAACUCAGCUAAUGAAGUGAUGAAAGAUGCUGGUACUGAAGUAAUUCAUGAAGUGAAACACAGAGAUAUUGGGACAGAAAUGACUCCCCUAGGCAGUUCCACAACUUCUAGAUGCCACACACCAUUCAAAAGCUCAUCGCCUGCUCGCCAUAACACGCCUGCCAAUAGGUCAGGCCCUUUGCCAUUAGGGAAUUCUAGCAGCACCAACAGCAGCAUCGACAUUUCCCAGUUACAAGCUUGCCAUUUGGCUAAGCUACAACAUGGGUCACAAUAUGAUUCUGUUACAACAAAUUGGAGCUCAAGGGAAGAAGAGGAAGAGGAAAUAUCAAAGAGCCUAAGACACUUUGAAACAGGCAUUACUUGCCGGAGAAGUGUUUCAGAUUCUAGAGCUGCUACGUGGGAGGAAGAGGAAAAGACAAAAUGCUGUCUUAGGUACCAAAGAGAGGAAGCGAAAAUUCAAGCUUGGCUGAACCUCCAAACUGCAAAAGCAGAAGCUCAAUCAAGAAAGCUUGAGGUGAAAAUACAAAAGAUGAGAUCAAACUUAGAAGAGAAGUUGAUGAAGAGGAUGGCACUUGUUCAUAAAAAAGCCGAAGAAUGGAGAGCUGCAGCUCGCCAGCAACACAGUGAGCAGAUUCAAAAUGCUAGUGAACAAACGAAGAAGAUGAUGAACCGACAAUUCUCUAGCCCUGCAUCUUGUGGUUGCUUCCCUUGCAACUCCUAUCCUUGAUCUACAAAUAAUAGAAAGAUGUAUCCCCUGCUCUUUCUAAGCAAAAUCCAAAUCUAUUAAAUUCUUUUCUU